UACGGAGGGUGCAAGCGUUAAUCGGAAUUACUGGGCGUAAAGCGUGCGCAGGCGGUUUCGUAAGUCUGUCGUGAAAUCCCCGGGCUUAACCUGGGAAUGGCGAUGGAGACUGCGAGGCUAGAGUUUGGCAGAGGGGGGUAGAAUUCCACGUGUAGCAGUGAAAUGCGUAGAGAUGUGGAGGAACACCGAUGGCGAAGGCAGCCCCCUGGGUCAAAACUGACGCUCAUGCACGAAAGCGUGGGGAGCAAACAGG
rnacentral:rRNA from 1 species